AUACCAUCAGAGUGUUUGGUGUAUUCUUGUUCGCUAGGUUUGUGUACAUUUCUUACCGUCUAUUUGGUUUGGUUCUGACUUAAACUCGCUGAAUUAUGGCGACGUAGUUGGAUUGUCGGUUCCAAUAGUUGAUAAAGAGAAAGUUUUCCAAUGGCGGAUCCUGUCGAUGAAAUUGGUAAAGCUGUUCAUGGCAAUGCCCGUGAAGGACUCUGUGCUACAAUUUCUGGGCCUGGCAGAUUAUAUAAGAUAAAAAUUGACGCCGAUAAAGCUGUUGUUAAAGACAUAUUACUCGCAACAGUCUCACUAGGAGCAAUAUAUGCAGGUUAUAAAUUAAUUGCACGAAAAAUGGACGGGGCUGUUGAUAAAGGUCUUGGCGGUGAAAGAGAUGACCAAGAUGUUCGGGACAUCAAACCGAAGUGUCUACUCGUCAUCCUGCAUUGUUUUACGGACAAAAGAUUUCUGGAGGUUUUAGAAGAUUUUAAAUCCGGAGGAAUGAAAGAACGCUUGAGGAGGGAAUUUUUUAAUGUUGGAAUUGAAACCGAGGGAUUGACGGUUGAAAUUGAGAAUAUCGAAGAAGUAGAAAAAAGAGCAGCGGAUAUAAAAAAGAGUAACAUUGGAAAGGAUGAUGGAAGUCAUGGACAAUAAGACAAUGCAAGUGACUUGAAUUUUGAAAAGUCAGAAUGUUCCAGUGAUUCACGAAGAGAAUUUGAUGAAAAAAAUGGUAAGUAUAAACAAAAUUAAUUCGUACCCAGGCGGCAGCAGCAGUACUACAGAGAUCGGUGGCGAAGAAAGCGUGAGCGCGCGGGGGUGUUUCUGGCAAAUUGCGUCGAUUUCUGCCGAAUGUGGUUUUAAAGUACUUUUUUCUGUACUUUGAUGAAAAUCUUUAACAACUAUGAACGCGCCGGAAAAAAGUCACCAUAUGAAGGUAUUUAAUGCUUCCGUUUUGUUUUUCUUUAUAUUAAUACGGCUACUUUUGAAUAUCCCAUAAGCCAAUUAUCGUGUAUUGGCUUUGCGCAAUGUCACAGAUAUCCUCUGUUCUGUAAUUUCAAUUAAAUCAAAUAAUGUUUUCCUGGUUGGGAAAACGUACGCUAAAAUGUAAUAAGGGAUUCUAAAACGACAAAAACGGACAUUCGUCUAUUGUAUAUUUUUGUGUACUAUUUUGCAUAUUUAUAAAAUACCAGCCAAAGGCAGCAGUUUUUAAUCCUGAAUGAUGUCCACAUCUUUUCUGUUAAAUGUAUGAAUAUGUUCUGCCAUAGGCGAAUUUAGUUCUGAUGAUGCAUCCUUUAAACAACUUUUUAAGAGUAAGAGUCAACAGCAUUUAAGUAUAUGUUUAUAUUUUAUAUGACUCUUUAUGAUUAAGCUUAAGCAAUGCUAACAUAUAUUUUAUAAGCACUCAUGAUACAGCUGAGUGUGAGGUUUAUUAGGAGACAUCAAGUAGAUCAGUCAGUAAUUCGAAGAAGCUUGGUUUUGAAAAUCAUCAAUUGACACCAGAGGGAGUUGAGCUUCAACGAAUAUUUAAGAAAUUUGCAGUCAGAGAAGAAAUGAAAUGGCAUCCAAACGUGAUAAAUUUUGGAGUACUGGGAGAGUCCAAAUGAAAAUGCAGAACAAUUUAUGCUGAUAGAGGAUCAAAAAGCAUUCUUACCAGAAGCAUUAAGUAAUUAUUUACAAAAAUAAGCAAAAGGAAUGUUAUGAUUGGAGCUAAAGAUUAUGCAAUGUUGCAUGCUUGCUGAAAACACAUGUACUAUACUGGUUUCCUUACAAAAAAUAAUAAAAUAAUAAUAAAAGUGAGCAGACAUUCUUUGUGCCGUUAGCAAGGCACUGAAGUGUUUAUUUCUCCUGCAUUUCUCUAGUAAAUUAUGCGCGCACAUUCAUUCCAUAAGGCUAAGCAAAUAUUCGCGUUUGUGGCAUACUCUAUGAUGAUGAUCCACGCCUGUUUCUUCGAAGAAUUCCUUUUUGGGAUUAAUUCUUUGAAUUACUUUAAUUUUUAUGCCAGCAAAGAACUUUUGCCGAAAGAACCGAAUUAUGUACCUGAUUUUCAAAUUCUUCAAUUAUCUCCUUUUAUACA